GUGAAAGUGCAUGGCUAUUACCGAACGCAGUCAAGCUUUAGAAGUUAAAGAAUGUCUGAGGGUGAUUAAUCAAUCACCAAUAUAGGGCCAAGCGUGAAAGCCAGAGGACGUCUUGGACCACACGGUCUUUCAUCUUCUGCAACCCAGGCAGAAAACACUGAAUACUUGGCUGAGAAUUUAAUUAAACAGGAAGUAGAGAUUUGAACUACAUUAAGAAUUCAAGUCUGCCCUCUGUCAAGGUUAGGACUUUUGUUGGGUAUGAGACUUUGGUUGGAGAUGUCUGGGUUGAUGCAUUGAAAACAUUAAGUCCCCGUCUUCCCAUGAACCUUCUUGGCCUACAGAUGUAAGCCCAUUCUUCUCAAAUGAAGCCUAAUGCUCCUUCCUCACCUCAGAUGAUGCAGGAGCCUCUGCCUCAUGAGACUACACGUGACUGCUCAGAAGCAAGUCUCCUCUUCACUCCUGCCACCAGAACUUUAACUGAGGAGUGUGAUAAGAGAUCUGUGUGUCAAAAACCUAAAGCCUUCUGCCAAAAGCAUCUGAGUGGGUCAUCUCUGUGGUGGAUCUUCCAGCCCUCCAAUAAGCCUUUGGAUAACUAGAGCCCAAGCUGAUAUGUGGCCAUGCAGCCUCAUGAGAGACUAAGCCAGAACCACUCAGAGCCUCCAAAUGAGAGCCAUACAGGUCAACUCCUUGAUUUAGACCUUCUGAGACCCUGAGCAGAAGAUUCAGUUGAGCCCACCUGACCCUGACUUACAAAACAGUUGGAUUUCCAGUAGCCACAUCUGUUUUCGACUCCCUGUGAUGAGGAAUGUUUAACACCAUGGUGGGAUUGAGGUUGAAAAUGGAGAUGCAAAUCCACCAUGGAACUUGUCCACAUUUCUUAUAGCCAGGCUUUUUGGGAGGACACUAAGCCCACAUUACCUGCAGAGCAGCCUAGAUAACAGAGCCUUUCAGAGAGACAGGCACACAGACCUUAGAAAGGCAAAGUAUACUCAGCACCAGAUUCCAGGGGCAGUAAAGGUGUCCUGUUAGGCAGAUGAAACAGAGGCAGGGAACCUGAAUUGUGUAGUUUUAACCUAAAAGACUAGAUCACUUUAUGGUUGUGUCUGGAACAGGAACUAAGCAACAUAUACAGGAACCAAAGCAGAACUUUAGUGUCAGAGACCAAAAUGAAUAGGCACUGAUGGACUUCGACUUCAUGGAGUUGGAAAGUAGACACAGUAAACUGCUCUCAGUCCUGGAAAAGAAGGAAAUUGCUGAAGUUUUUUUCAACCUUGCUGGUUGUACAUCCCAGUGAUUCAGGGUGUUGGGAUGUUAACUGAUUUUACAGAUGGAGCACAGGGAAAGCAAAGGAUUAAUCUAGAGCUGUUAGGUGAGAUAUCAAUACCUGAAUCCUAUAAUUGUAAUCAAUUUGCUUAGUGUUGAGGGGUUUCUUCUGCUGAAAAUGUUCUAGCUUAAUUCUCUUAUUUCUCCUUCCUACACUCAUCAGUACAGCCAGACUUGUCUAUUUGAUACCCUACUUCUUUCCUUUUGCCUAUACAAUUUCAUAUCUUUGGAUAUUCCUUUCAUCUCAUCUUUCCCUGUGUCAGUUCUAUCUUCAAGUCCCAACUCAGGUUUUAUUUUAUGCUAAUCCUCCAGAGUUGGAAAAAAAUUAGUUCAUAAUUCCUUUAAAAUAUUAUUGUAAAAUAUAUCACAUCAGAUAUGAAAGUACAAAACAAUUAACUUUAAAGAAUCAUCUAUGUAACCACUACCCAAGUGAAGAAACAAGACCCUUUUAACAUCUCUUUAAAAGUCCUUUAAAUGAUUCACCUCCAUGGUGAUGUCCUCUUUGUUCUUCUUUGGAGGUAAUCUCUGUCUUGCCUUUGUACUAAUCAUGCCCUUUUGUUUAAAAAACUUAUUUUAUUUUAUUUGAACUUAUACUGCCUAUGCACAGUGCUUUAAGUAAUGUUGUUUAACUUGAUAUAAUUGGAUCUUACUAUGCAUAUUUUGUUCUUCUUUUGGUCAGCAUUUAUGUUUCAUCUGUUUUUAUUGCUUGUGGCUAAAGUUCAAUUACAUUUUUUAUAGGAGUCCCUUGUCUAAAUAUUAUAUAAUUUAUUUAUUCUUUGUACUAUUCAUCAACACGUGGGCUGUUCCUAGUUUAGGGCUGUUAUGAACAUUCUUAUGUAAGUAUCCUGGUGCAUGUGUUCUUAAAUCAUUUAAAUUAUUUAACUUUAUGAACGAAUAUUUAUCCUAUAAUUUAAAAUAUCAUAAAAAUUUCAGUUGUUAUAUAGUAUUCUAGCUUGUGUUCUUAGCACAAUGUAUAGAAUUGUUACUCUGUUUUAGGCAUCUUGGUAUCUGUUGUAGAUAACACUCUAAUGAAUACUCUAUGAA